rnacentral:rRNA from 1 species
CCUACGGGAGGCAGCAGUAGGGAAUAUUGCUCAAUGGGGGAAACCCUGAAGCAGCAACGCCGCGUGGGGGAUGAAGGUUUUCUGAUUGUAAACUCCUUUUGUUAGAGAAGAUAAUGACGGUAUCUAACGGAUAAGCCCCGGCUCACUCCGUUCCAGCCGCCGCGGUAAUACGGAGGGUGCAAGCGUUACUCGGAAACACUGGGCGUAAAGAGCGCGGAGGCGGGAUAGCAAGUCAGAUGUGAAAUCCUAUGGCUUAACCAUAGAACUGCAUUUGAAACUGUUAUUCUAGAGUAUGGGAGAGGUAGGUGGAAUUCUUGGUGUAGGGGUAAAAUCCGUAGAGAUCAAGAGGAACACGCAUGGCGAAGGCGACCUGCUAGAAUAUAACUGACGCUGAUGCGCGAAAGCGUGGGGAGCAAACAGGAUUAGAUACCCCAGUAGUC